UUAGUUUUCCAAAAAAAAUGGUUACAAUAAAAAAGAUUCAACGACGCCAUUCAAACUUUCAUAUGGAAUCUGUGUCAAGAAUUUCUAGCUUACCUAUUAUUGAAUCAAGUAUAAAGAUAGCUAAUAAUGUUUAUCACAAAAUCAAGCGCUCUAAUUCCUUGAUAAAUUGGAGUCUUAAUACUGCUGAGCAUUUUUUCGUAAUUGCUACUGCAUCAGUUCAACCAGCGAUACAAAUGUUAAAUAAGCCUAUUUUUUCAAUUGAUCGUCUUCUGUGUCAAAGUAUUGACAUUGUUGAAGAACGGAUUCCAAACAUCUGUUUACCACCAGAACUUAUGUACUCGAACACGCGAGAAUUCAUGAAUAAUAAGUUUGUCAAGCCAGUACUGAAACGAGCCGGAAGUGUAAAGCAAAUAGGUAGUCAAGCUGCGAACGUAGCUGCUGAUAAAUUGGAUGAUGCUCUAACUGUUGUCGAUGGAUAUGUUGAUCGUUAUUUACCAGAGGUUCUUGUGGAUAAUACAAAUGAAAAAAAUAAAAUAGAUGCAAAGCCGAGUGCAAUAACAACAAGUAAAACAGCUCGUACAAUUCAGCAUGGUGCUAGAUUUUCUCGUAAGCUUCAGAAACGACUUACUCGUCGAACUAUAGCCGAAGUCCAAGCACUUAAAAACCAAGGAGUCCAGUGUGUACAUAUGAUCAUGGAUGUUAUGAAACUAAUCGUAACAAAUCCGAAAAUGGCAUAUAAAAAAUCUAAAGAACUGUGGGCAAUACUGAGUUUGGCAGAGCCAGAAAAUCAAGAACGUCCUCAAACUCUUGAACAACUAAUCGUUUUACUGACGCGGGAAUCAGCACGGAGAGUAGUUCAUAUAAUAAAUGCGGCAACUGCAUUAGCUACAAGGAUUCCUCGACGUACUAAAAUCAUUAUGAUGACAGUUUCACAUCAAAUAUUAUCCAUUACAGAAUCCACCUUAAAAAUUUAUCAUUUCUUAGAUGGUUUCCCAAGUUAGUAAGCGCGAAACUCCCGAAUUACAACUAUCGGCUCUUGAAUCAGCAAUAAAAAAUCUCAAUGAUACUAUGAAUAUUUUAUUGGAACGUAUUGCUGUGUUUCUUGCUGGACGUCCUACAUCGAGAAAAUUAACAACACCACAUCUACGAAGAAACCAUAAUAAUCAUAUUACAUCUACAACACAUCCUAUGAAUGGCAUCGAUUGAUAUCUUCUGCAAAAAGAAAAUAAUAUU
rnacentral:misc_RNA from 1 species